GGUCGGCUGGCCUAAUGGUAAGGCUUCCGUUUCCGGUUCAUUCGAAUUCAAACAUACGGAGGAUUGCAGGUUCGAGUCCUGCGUCGAUCG